rnacentral:rRNA from 1 species
AUUGGACCCGAUAUUGAAACGAGCUUACGACGAACCAGUAUGAAUUUUUCAUGACUAAACGAGUGUCUGUAGAAAAAGGCUUCGGUGAUUUGUCGUAAGGGGUGAAAGGCCAAUCAAGUUCAAUGAUAGCUGGUUUUCUGCGAAACCUAUUUUGGUAGGGUUGUCAAUUAAAACAGCAAAGGUUAGUUUUUUGGAGCGAAUAUUUGCUGAUUUAGAAUAACAAAUCAGACAUACAGUGGGAAGAUUGUGUGUCGAAAGGAAAAGAGUUCAGAGGUGUAGCUAAAGUCCCAAAAUUAGUCAAUUGAAA